rnacentral:rRNA from 1 species
ACCUUCGGGUUCUAGUGGCGGACGGGUGAGUAACGCGUGAGAAUCUGCCAAAAGGACUGGGACAACCACUGGAAACGGUGGCUAAUACCGGAUGUGCCGCAACGUAAAAGAGGAAACUCGCCUUUUGAGGAGCUCGCGUCUGAUUAGCUAGUUGGUAGGGUAAAAGCCUACCAAGGCAUCGAUCAGUAGCUGGUCUGAGAGGAUGACCAGCCACACUGGGACUGAGACACGGCCCAGACUCCUACGGGAGGCAGCAGUGGGGAAUUUUCCGCAAUGGGCGAAAGCCUGACGGAGCAAGACCGCGUGAGGGAGGAAGGCUCUUGGGUUGUAAACCUCUUUUCUCAGGGAAGAACACAAUGACGGUACCUGAGGAAUCAGCCUCGGCUAACUCCGUGCCAGCAGCCGCGGUAAUACGGAGGAGGCAAGCGUUAUCCGGAAUUAUUGGGCGUAAAGCGUCCGCAGGUGGCACUUCAAGUCUGUCGUCAAAGACUGGGGCUUAACCCUGGAAAGGCGGUGGAAACUGAAGCGCUAGAGUGCGGUAGGGGUAGAGGGAAUUCCCGGUGUAGCGGUGAAAUGCGUAGAGAUCGGGAAGAACAUCGGUGGCGAAAGCGCUCUACUGGACCGCAACUGACACUCAGGGACGAAAGCUAGGGGAGCGAAUGGGAU